GUCAGGGUCAGGCAUUGCUGGCUCAGAAGCAGGAAAUCUCAUGUAGAAGCCCAGAACUUUCAAGAGAUAAGAAGUAGGGAGAUUCUGGUUUAAAGAGAGAUGACGGAAGCCCCGAAUGUCCUGUCUUCUGCUCCCCCAGAUACCUUCAUGGACUACAGAGCUGUACAUACGGUUAGACUCCUUGACCUCAAUGGUCAUGGAAUACAUGAACUUCAGGCUUAAUCUCUGUGUGAGAAAAACAGCAUGAAGAUAAUCAACUCUAUGUCAGAAGAAAUUGGCAACACUACUAACCACGAGUAAUGCACACCGAAGUUGUGAAGAGGAUGUUACUAUUUGUACACUGUUUUGAGCAGUGCCUGCUGUACAGUAAGGACCAUAUAUGUGUUUAUAAAAUAAAUCUUAGUUGCUAGAGGCAACACCAGGCA
rnacentral:antisense_RNA from 1 species